CUUCUUCUGUGCAGCUAGGGCUCCAAAGUUCCUGCUUUUUAUUCCUCUUCUUUCUUCUUCCUCUUCAAUAUUCCCUCUUCUUUCCCAUGCUAGAUUCUCUGAUUAAAAACCUGGAACAGAUUGUGAUCGUAGUGAGGAUGAUGUGGAUGAUAAUUUUUUGUCUAGUGAAGAAGAUGAUAGAGAAGAAAGGUUGGAAGUAUUCAAAAAGCAAAGGACACUUGGUAUCACUGAAAAGCUUGAAGAGUACAAGGUUUUGGAGAAAGACCCCAGUGUUGUAGACUUCGGACCGCGGUGGGAUUGUUGAUACUUGCUCAUCAGGCGACCCGAGGUAGUCCUGCAGGCGUCCACAGGUCUUGGCGUCUUCUUCUACCUACCGUUCCUGUUUCAUUUCCCUUAUAUUCUAAAACAGUGUAUUAUUAUUUCUUCAGACUUUGUAUGUAGUAAAUAUUAGACCGUCUGUGGCACCGUGAUACCAGAUUUUGGGUGGUUAAGGAUUUAGUAUUUGAAUUAGUUAUAGUUUUCAUAUA